rnacentral:rRNA from 1 species
UACGUAGGAGGCAAGCGUUGUCCGGAAUUACUGGGCGUAAAGCGCGUGUAGGUGGUGGGACAAGUCUGCUGUGAAAGCGCCUGGCUUAACCGGGCGAGGUCGGCGGAAACUGUUCGACUCGAGGACGGUAGAGGGGGUGGAAUUCCCGGUGUAGUGGUGAAAUGCGUAGAGAUCGGGAGGAACACCGAUGGCGAAGGCAGGUCUCUGGGCCACUACUGACGCUGAGAAGCGAAAGCAUGGGGAGCGAACAGG